rnacentral:lncRNA from 1 species
GUCCUUGUUUCUGGUUGUGAGAGAGGCUUUGGAUGCCCAUUCCAGGAAGCGUGGACCUUCAGAGUAUCUGAGGAGCCACUGUGACACGUGGUGCCUCUGGCGCCUUUCCUCAUAUCCUCAGGCCAACACCAGAGUUGGGUUUAAGUAGCGAGUGUUCUGGAAGCAGCGUUUUGCACUUGGGGUGAGUGGUGUGCCUGCAUCUCAUCAGGGACUUUGAAGAUGUGCUCGUGGUGGGGGCUGUGGAUGCUGUUGGAUGCGUGUGACUCGUAAUGUGGCCGGUUACUAGGAACAAUUCCCAGUGACAUCAUUGUGUUUAACCCUGUGUCACUGCCUGUCUCCUGAGUAUCCCUGGGACCAGAAGGUGGGAGUGUCCAGGUGGCCUUCACUUACGUAUCUUGGGCUACCUGCCUGGUUAGUGAAGACAUUAUCCCCAAACGUGGGCCUUGGAGAGGAGAGGGCUGUCCACGGAGUGGGCAGGUGGCCUGACGCAGGGCCUGGCCCGCAGUGACCUCAGCUCCAGCAGCAGCACCCACCUUGGCUCUGGGGCCAGAAGCGUACCUUGGUGUCUCUGCUCCUCUGCCACAGACCUGUCCACCUGCCUUCCAGAGCCCCCAUGACCUGACUGCUCUGUGCCUGUCGUGGGCACAGCACUGGCUGUGGGCUGCCUUCCUCCCUGUCUGCUGACCUUGCCCUGACCCCCUGCCCAUCCUGGUUGGUGGACCUUGGGUGAUUCUGCUCAUAAAGUCCACCAGGGGGCUUCCUGGUUCACAGAAGGGUGGAGGGGACUUGUGGGCCAGCACCCUCCUGGUGUGUGGCAGAGGGUCCUGCUUCCAGGCUUUCCAGCUCCUUUCUGUGGGCCAGCUUCCCCGAUUUCCACACGAGUUCACAGUGGUGUCUUCCACUCACCCCUGUUCUGUCGUGUGCAGUCAGGGUAGCCGAGGUGGGGGUGACCUCCAG